ACUUUUAGUGAUUCUAAUUGUAGUCCCACGUAGGAGGGUGAUAAAAGAAGAUUUUAGUUAUUCUAGAUGAAUUUUUAGGUAUGAAAAAGGAAUUGAACUAUGCUUCCGAAGUUGUUGAAAGCAGUCUGAAAUUCUGCAGAAAGAAGCGAUGGGAUUUCUUUGUGUUUUAGGUGAUUAAAUUGUUAUUUAAAGCUGAAAGUUUGUAGGUUGUGUUAGGGAUUUCCUAGUCCUAACACAGAGCCUAAUAGGUGGAAUUGAUUGUUAAGAACCUCCGGGAGUUAAGAGGUUUAAUUGGCUCGAAAACAGAACAAACAAGCUGAAAACAGGGGAAUUGAAUUCUGAUUUAUUUUUGGUGUUAAGUAGUUGUUUGGCAGCUGAAAAUUUAUAGAUGAUAUAGAAGGUUUUCUAGUCCUAACCCAGGGUAUCAAAGAGGGAGAUAAAAGCUUGGAAACCUUUGAGAAUUGAGAGGUUUUAUUUAUCCUAAAAUAAGACAAGCAAGGUAAAAAAAUCAGAAAGUUAAGAUGAGGGUGUUGGAUUUCUUUUUGGAACAUGCAUAAUCAUGUUGCAUCAUAUAGGUUAUAAUUUUGAUUGACUCUUUUAAUUAUUUAGGAGGAGAAGAGAGUCCCGGAAGUGUGCCGGGAGUAUCAAGCACUAGGGUGGUGCGUUAGCCAUCACAAGAUCGGCAGAGUCAUAACAUUAUAAAAGUACCGCAUCAGCAUCAUCCUAGAAGUUUGUCAUAGAAGGUUGGCCAUGCCCCUCUGAGUGAAAGGAAAAACCUUUGUAUUAUGCAUAUAGUUGGGGUGUGAAUGUAAACUAACUUGAGACAGAUGUAAAGUUUGUUAUAUUUUGAGCUAUGUAUAGUAGACUUUAAGUUAUCAAUGAAAGCUUGGGUUGCUUUUAGUUA